UACGUAGGUGGCAAGCGUUGUCCGGAUUUAUUGGGUUUAAAGGGUGCGUAGGCGGCCUAUUAAGUCAGUUCUGAAAUAUCCCGGCUUAACCGGGAGGGUGGGAUUGAUACUGAUGGGCUUGAGUGGAAUCGAGGUAGGCGGAAUUGACGGUGUAGCGGUGAAAUGCUUAGAUAUCGUCAAGAACACCGAUAGUGUCGACAGCUUACUAGACUUCAACUGACGCUGAGGCACGAAAGUGUGGGGAUCAAACAGG
rnacentral:rRNA from 1 species